UGUUACUAACAUUAUUUAACUUAUUUCCAGAUUAGUAAUAUUCAAGAAAUUUAAUGGAUUUGGCGGCAAGAUAACUAAUUAGAGGAACCUGCCCUAUAAAUGAUGAGCCACAAGCACCUUACUUUUUUUCGAUCUAACAGUUUGUAUAUCGCUGUUGUCAGUUAGUUUUAGCAAAAAACUUUCACAUAUGAAACUUUCAUAAACUUCAAGCAAUGUAGCAGCUUAUAAAAAAGAAAGAGGUGGGUUACAAUAAAAGAUUUUAGACGGAUAAGUAAUUGAAAAUUUAUUUUGAAGGAGGAUUUAAUUGUAAAUUUUUAUAAAAUUGAUUUAAGCUCUAUCUUGU
rnacentral:rRNA from 1 species